rnacentral:SRP_RNA from 1 species
UCUAAAAUGGCGUGCGCCUGUAAUCCCAGCUACUCGGAAGGCUGAGGCUGGAAGAUGGCUUGAGCUCAGGAGUUCUGGGCUGCAGUGCGCUAUGCGGAUCUGGUGUCCGCACUAAGUUCGGCAUCGAUAUGGUGACCUCCCGGGAGCGGGACCCACCAGGUUGCCUAAGAAGUGGUAAACCUGCCCAGGUCAGAAACGGAGCAGGUCAAAACUCCCGUGCUGAUCAGAGAAUUUAGAAUAAUCAAAACAAUUUUAAAAAAUAACAAAGUUGGAGGGUUUAU